GAACCUUCAUAGAAGAAGUCGAGAGUGACGGGUUGCCGGGUAAGGUUAACUGGGAGAGGGAUUCGCGAAUAAUGGGCAGAAUAACCAGCGCAUCGGACCAUUGCCGUUUCUGAGCACUUGCCCAGUUCUAAAAUUAAGACAUUGUGUAUUCGAGCGGGGCGAUGUGAAUUUCAAGCACAGUGAGUUUUUCGUUAUUCUAAGAUGCUUACUACUUUGUUGUUCUGUUUUUUUUUUUCCUGCGAGUUUUCUGUCAAAAUCAAUGAUUUUACGCGACAAAUGAGUCAAAGACACUGUAAGCGGAACAAAGAACACGGUGAAAAUCUGACCAUCGUCGUCGUCUUGGCCGUCGCCGUUACGGGUGUCCUCAACGACCGCUCCGCCGGUGUCCGACGGCUGACGGGAACGUCUCCUCGACCUCGGGCGGUCCGGACGAAAGUUGACGGACACACACAGCCGAAGCUCGCUCGUCUCUUGAGUUCAGCUCGUACUGACUCCGUAACGAACGUGCGAUGCGAAGCGGUGCCCGUUUUCGAGGAGCCCGACGUUUCGCGGUAACUAUCUGACGAGCGGCUGAGCGUCGUCGAGGAGGAGCGCGAGACCGGCGCGAGAAGAAGGCGCGAAGACGGCGGGAUCGCGGAGGCUCCGCACUCGCUCGACAGCGAGUCCAACUCAACUGCUGAGGACUUUAGCGUAGUUUGACCACAACUGGAUAAACAACUGCUCCGCGGGGGUCCGCAAAUAGGACAGAGCGUGUAUAAUAAUGAUUUUAAUGUGCUCUACAGGGCUGCGCAACUUGGUCUUUCUAAACACAGCCAGGUGAGAACGUGAGACCAGAUACAAUGAAGGGUGAAAGACUGCGGUGGGACACAUGAAAACACCACGGUCAUCACCCCCUAUGUUGCUCAGCAUAUAAGACAACACACAUACAGGGAAAUUAUGAAGAGACCUUCUACACAUACUAAAGGACAGCCAAUCAUAUUGUCCAUGUAAGUCAGUGUCCUUGUGUUAAGUAUAGUUUCGCACGUCAGGUACAUGUGGCACGUGCGCGCUGGCUGUGUGUCUGUUCUGCAGCUUAAAUUGACACGUACAUUUAUUAUUUAGCAUACGCUUUUCCCCAAAGCGACACGCAAGCCGUAGUGCAUCUUUCCACCUCUUCUGAGUGCAGACAUGAUAAAUGUUUUUGUUAUUCAGAUUUUUUUUUUUUUUUUUUUUUUUUUUGGGUCCACUGAGGUCCAGAUGCUGCUCUUGUAAAGAAUAUGCAUGUUGACAAAGCUUUGACCCCCGGUUGACCUUUGCAAGUUAGUGGCGUUAAUCAGUGUAGCAGGUGACACGGUUUGCCAGUCCUGUGGCCGUGUUCAGAGCGUGCCCAGAAUAUGGCGGCUACAUUUAACCGCUGCCGGAGCGGGCAGGAGCGCGUCCUCGUACCAAGGUCAGAGGGUUCCUCGUGCGGUCGCUCAGAUCGCUGCUGCUGCUACUGCUGGCUUCUCUGGGCCUCCUGGAGAAGGAAUGGGGAGGGGUGGGGGGCGGUUAGCAUGGAAAUGUUUCCUUUCAGGGU
ensembl:lncRNA